CAAAUACUCCCUCCGUUCCGAAUUACUUGUCUUGGAUUUGUCUAGAUACGGAUGUAUCUAGACUCAUUUUAGUGCUAGAUACCUCCGCAUCUAGACAAAUCUAAGACAAGUAAUUUGGAACGGAGGGAGUACCUC
rnacentral:pre_miRNA from 1 species